AGUAGCGUGCAGGAUGACGGCCCUAUGGGUUGUAAACUGCUUUUAUAAGGGAAUAAAGUGAGUCUCGUGAGACUUUUUGCAUGUACCUUAUGAAUAAGGACCGGCUAAUUCCGUGCCAGCAGCCGCGGUAAUACGGAAGGUCCGGGCGUUAUCCGGAUUUAUUGGGUUUAAAGGGAGCGUAGGCCGGAGAUUAAGCGUGUUGUGAAAUGUAGACGCUCAACGUCUGCACUGCAGCGCGAACUGGUUUCCUUGAGUACGCACAAAGUGGGCGGAAUUCGUGGUGUAGCGGUGAAAUGCUUAGAUAUCACGAAGAACUCCGAUUGCGAAGGCAGCUCACUGGAGCGCAACUGACGCUGAAGCUCGAAAGUGCGGGUAUCGAACAGGAUUAGAUACCCUGGUAGUCCGCACGGUAAACGAUGGAUGCCCGCUGUUGGUCUGAAUAGGUCAGCGGCCAAGCGAAAGCAUUAAGCAUCCCACCUGGGGAGUA
rnacentral:rRNA from 1 species